rnacentral:rRNA from 1 species
UACAGAGGGUGCAAGCGUUGUUCGGAAUCAUUGGGCGUAAAGGGUGCGUAGGCGGUCGUGCAAGUCGGAUGUGAAAUCUCAGGGCUCAACCCUGAAACUGCAUUCGAUACUGCGCGGCUAGAGUGCUGGAGGGGAGACUGGAAUUUACGGUGUAGCAGUGAAAUGCGUAGAUAUCGUAAGGAAGACCAGUGGCGAAGGCGAGUCUCUGGACAGCAACUGACGCUGAGGCACGAAGGCCAGGGGAGCAAACGGG